AACGAACGCUGGCGGCAUGCCUAACACAUGCAAGUCGAACGAUUGCCUUCGGGUGAUAGUGGCGCACGGGUGCGUAACGCGUGGGAAUCUGCCCUUAGGUUCGGAAUAACAGCUGGAAACGGCUGCUAAUACCGGAUGAUAUCGCGAGAUCAAAGAUUUAUCGCCUGAGGAUGAGCCCGCGUUGGAUUAGGUAGUUGGUGGGGUAAAGGCCUACCAAGCCGACGAUCCAUAGCUGGUCUGAGAGGAUGACCAGCCACACUGGGACUGAGACACGGCCCAGACUCCUACGGGAUGCAGCAGUGGGGAAUAUUGGACAAUGGGCGCAAGCCUGAUCCAGCAAUGCCGCGUGAGUGAUGAAGGCCCUAGGGUUGUAAAGCUCUUUUACCCGGGAAGAUAAUGACGGUACCGGGAGAAUAAGCCCCGGCUAACUCCGUG
rnacentral:rRNA from 1 species